CGGCGGACGGGUGAGUAACGCGUGGGUAACCUGCCUCAUACAGGGGGAUAACAGUUAGAAAUGGCUGCUAAUACCGCAUAAGACCACAGUACUGCAUGGUACAGUGGUAAAAACUCCGGUGGUAUGAGAUGGACCCGCGUCUGAUUAGGUAGUUGGUGAGGUAACGGCCCACCAAGCCGACGAUCAGUAGCCGACCUGAGAGGGUGACCGGCCACAUUGGGACUGAAACACGGCCCAG
rnacentral:rRNA from 1 species